UUGGGGUUCAUUGGACUCGGAUUUGGGGUUCCCCAUUGGAAUUUUGGGGUUCACUGGACUCGGAUUCUGGGGUUCCCUGGACUCGGAAUUUUGGGGUUUCCCAUUGGAUUUUUGGGCUUCGUUGGACUCAGAAUUUUGGGGUUCAUUUGACUUGGAAUUUUGGGGUUCCCUGGACUCAAAUCUUGGGGUUCCCCAUUGGAUUUUUGGGGUUUCCUGAACUCGGAAUUUUGGGGUUCAUUGGACUCGGAAUUUUGGGGUUCCCCACUGGAUUUUUGGGCUUCUCUGGACUCAGAAUUUUGGGGUUUAUUGGACUCGGAUUUGGGUUUCCCCAUUGGAUUUUUGGGGUUCCCCCCAUUGGAUUUUUUGGG
rnacentral:lncRNA from 1 species